CCUCGCGAUGUCCACGUCGGACUAGCUGGAAGACAAAAAGAGCAAGAGGGAGGAAGUUGCCUCGAGCCCCACCCCUUCCUUAUCCUUUCCUCCAAAAUUUCACAUCGCACGCAACCUUCUCUCGUGACGCCGCCGCCGCCUCCUCUUCUCUCCCCCGAUUCUCCUCGCGACUGCUCCGAGCCCCUCCUCUUCCCUGUGUCGGCUGCUCGACGCGCCGCGCCACCGCUGCGGGAGAAGGUGAACACGAGGAGAUGCAGGGUGGGUGGCCUCGCCGGGAACCACCGGCUGGCCAAGGACCGUGUGGGCUGGCACUUCCCCGCGGCGCCCUCCUUCCCUGACUUGGCCGUCGCCACUGCCCCCUUCCCUCAUGUCGAGGCUGGGCGUGCACAGAGUGGGCGAGUCGAUCGCGACGGAACCAGAGUCACUCGAGGCCGGGGUGCGAGAUGAUGUCCAGCAGGCGGAGGGGUGGCCAUGGGAGGAGUAGCCCACAAUGAAAUCCAUUUUCUCUUUGUGUGUGUGUGUUGGAUUUCGAUCGAGGAAGGGGAUGGCGUGGGGAUGAGGCGGUGGACAGAGGAAGAGAGCGAUGCUGGCUGAGCGGGCGGAUCUGGAUCCAAGCGGCCCCUCGUGUGUUUGAUCUGUAGAGCGGCCAGAGGAGCAGGCCAACAUAACACCAACGUGCGCAAGGAAGAUGAGCUUCCAAAGUACAUCAUGCGCGGUAUGUACAUUCCUGUCCCGACGCCGUGCCCGACGCGCUGGACUGGAGGCAUAGCGGCGCCGUCACCAUGGUCAAGCAUCAGGGCAAGUGUGGUGCCAUGGAAGGACUAAACAAGAUCACGACAGGCUCUCUUCUCAGCCUUCCUGAGUAGAAACUAAUCGGUUGUGACAGAUCCCACAAUGCUGGUUGUGGCGGGGGACUGAAAAAGAUUCGAAUUUGAUGGGCCUAGUAGGCUACUGGACAAGACAUGGAGGGCCAAGACUCAGGAAAAACAAAAGGACAGGACAAGACCGGACGACUCCUCUGUACAAAGCAGCGAGCUCGCUUCUUUCAACAUGAAAAGAGGUGAAGACACCAAGGAGGCAGAGGAGCCCGUAAUGGUGAUAGGGGCAGCUGCCGAACAGACUUCAACUGUGGCGCCUCCGGAUCCAUCCGCAAUGACAUCCGUCUCCAUCUUCCUGGAUCAGAGUGAAAUAGGUGGAAACAACGAUGCCAGACUGUUCCUCAGCUACUGUCUAUGGCACAAGGUUGCAUAGGCCUCUCACACUCUCUCCCAGACUGUUCCUCUGACAACCGGUGCAUGCCACUCUUUUCUCUUCCUUUUUCUUUCUCUAUCGACCCGUGCAUGCAAUUCUCUCUCUCUUAAUUUUGUAAAAAAACUUUGAACAACGGCACUCUCUCUCUUUAAAACUUGCAUGCAGCAGACUCUCUCUUUACUUGAGCUCUGGCAAACCCACGUGACUACAGUACUGCAUGCAAGCGGCAGCGAGAGGACUGGUGUCACUAGCCUUUUCGGACGAAGGGACUGUUUGGUUCUAGGCCUAGCAUUGUCAUAUUUUACCACACAUUUUUGCCAACCUUGCCUAAGGUAAAUUCAUCAAAAUGAGAGUCACAAGUUGGCAAGCCUAAGGGAAUCUUGCCAUACUUUUUGUGUGUAUGCCAUGUGGGGCUCAAGUACGGCUUGGCUAAGGUGUGGCUUGAAUCAAAUACUCACCUAAGUUUGCCAAACUUGCCUAACCUUAGAUGUGACAACCUUUGGCAAAGUUAGUCACAAACCAAACAGCCUCUAAUCACUCUGUGGCUACACGGAUACUACUAUUGAUGCUGGCACUAGCACAUAUCUCAAUAUCAUGGUCAACGGUACAGAUAAGGGGCACCGUGUAGGACGAGCUACAAAGAAAUUUUGCGGUUAGCAAAUGCUACUUCCCUCCAUUUGGUGUCAUCAACAAGCUUGGCACGGCGUGGCAUCUCUCUGUGAAAAACAAAGGGCCAGUCCAUAUGAUCACUAUGUGCAUGCUCGACCUACCAGUCCUCCAAAUUGUGAAUAUAAACGACUUGGAAGAGGAUUAUACUAGUUCCAUGCACGGAACAAACUGAACUGCAUCCUUCAAAAAAUGAAAAAAAUAAAGAAAAUCAUAUGCUCAUAUGCACUCAAGGGAUCGAUUCCUCACCUGCAAGAUGUGGAGGCCCCACUUAGAGUAUGCUGCGAGGAGAGAACUAUAACUCGACUGAACCAGGUGGAGCAGGAACAAAGGAAAGGGCAACUAAAGUCCAAUAUGUAUCGCCAAUGAUGAACAUGCAAUUGACUUCAACUAACAAGGUUAUGAUGUUGGCCUCUUGGGAAAAAAAUUAUAUGCUUACGUUCGCACAAAGAAUGGGUUUAUACCUUGACUAAUGGCCCUUCAGCUAAUAAGAAUAGUUCAACAGUCAGCCUAGACAGCUCCAGGCCCUUUAGCUCUGCGUGGAUUAUAUAAUCUUCUGACAUUAAGGGGCCUCCAACUUCACCAAAUCCGCAUUCCAAAUGUUGAGGUUCAAAUCCGGAGUUCGGCCAUCUGUUUGACAGCCAAUUCCAUGGAGGAAAUAUUUGUAUGUAUUAUGUAUUACACCCUCGGUCCCAAAAUAAGUUUGGCUUAUUUUGAGACGGAUGGAGUAACUUUUUAUUAAAAAAAAUCCAAGAAUGUAAUCAUAAAACAUGAUAUUUCAGAAGCAUGACUUUGACGGUCCGGUUCGCGACAGUCAACGCGGCCACCCGUCUCCAUCUACCACCACGAACGCACGCAGAAUCAAGAUUGGGAGGCUAAUCACCACAAACGAUUUUUUUUAUCGAAUUGAGGAACUCUUGGCUACCGAUUUUUCAUUGAAAGGAAAACACAAGGUUUCCAGUGUUCACCCUCGCACAAGCUUCAGGGUAACAAAGCAGCAAGAUUGAUUGUCCAUCUGACGAGCCAACUGCUCGGGCGGGCGGAAGUCCCCGGUCGACACCACAAGGCAGCCCUCCGCACCGUCGAGCUUGGCCACUUCCACGCCAUGCUUCUCUACGACGCCAGCCUACCUCUUGACCUGCACAACGACGAGGAGAAGCUCGGCCCAGUCAUCAGCCGCGACGAGGAGAAGCUGCAGCAGUCUCUCCUCUCGGCCGCAACCUCGCAUCCUCUCGCUCUGCGGGGGAUCUGGACGGGAGAGGAGGAGGCGCGGUGGAUCUGGGCGGGGGAAGAUGCGGCGAGCCAUCGGAGAACGUCGGGGCGACGGCGGUCUGACGUCAGAUUCUUGAGUUUUCCAGGAAUACCCCUCGAUAUUCCUGCAUCAACAUUAAUUUUCACUCUACCUUCAGAGCUCCAUCGACUUGGGGCAGAAGUUCUAACAUUUACUCCCUCUGUCCGAAAAUACUUGUCAAAAUAUGUUUACAUACAUUCUUUUUUAUCUAUUUUGAUGACGAAUAUUUACAGACGGAAGGAGUAGAUCGCAUUGAGCUUUAGACGGAGUCAUGUCCAACUCUUCCAUAAAUUGAUUGAUAAAAUAAUGAGUGAACAUUAUACAACUAAUUAAGCAGCACUCACUUUUGUCUCCACUUUGCAAUAAGUGACGGACAUCCUAACAUGUGAGUUUUUUUUUCGUAUAUCCGUUUAUUCAAAACGUUUUAUUCCUUAAACUGUACGUCUAAAUCUUGAAUCGUUUUCACCGUUGGAUUACUCGUGUCAAGAUCAUCAAAACUAGAUCUCAUAUUGAUAGGUUUUGGCGUCUUCUUUUAAAAACCGAACGAAUAAACCUUGCACAUUUUUCUUUUCGAAAGAGGCACGACUAUGUCUCUCGUGGAAACAAAUUUGCGCCGCUCGCGGAAGGGAAACCCGUGUUCUUUUCGUUUUCGAGAGCACGGCUAUGCUUCUCACAAAAGCAAAUCCAUGCCUCUAGCAGAAGGAAAAAAAUGUGUUUUUUUUCAUUUUCGAGAUGCAGGACUAGUGGAAGCAAUUCCAUGCCUCUCGCGGAAGGAAAAAAUGCAUUUUUUCCGUUUUCGAGAGGCACUCUCGCGGAAGAAAAACAAUAAGCGUGUUUUUUCCUGUUUCUGAGAGACGCGACUCUGCCUCUAACGGAAGCAAAUCUGUGCCUCUCAUGAAGGGAAAAAACACGUUUUCUAGCACAAAAAGAACAACGUUUUUGUCUAAAACCUAAGAAAAACCGGGGGAAAUCGAAAAGCCAAAAAACCCGGAAAAAGUCAUAUAAAAAGCCAAAAACGCAUGCAAAAAAAAAUAAAAAUCCCAAAUCGAAGGAAGUAUCCAGCGUGUGACACGUGGCGACGGCUAGAGUGCGCUCUUAGUCCACCCCAGGUGACCCUUACGGGUUCCUAAAGGAGUACUCCUUGGAUAGUUUUUUAGGGGUUAAAUCAAGCUUUAUUGAUCAUAGACCACAUGAUGUGGGAUACAAAAAGGAUCAUGGGGCUCAACAAACCAUAUCGACUCAGAUCAAAAAAAUUGAAAACUUGGCUAACCUAUCAGCAUCACCAUUAGUGGCUCUACCUUCGAAUUUAAAUAAACAGUUUAACAAAGAGGCUCUCUGUUUGAUCUCGGAAAUAAUAGCACCGGAGCCACCUCGGCUUGAAUAUGAAAUAUCGUGGAUAGCUUGCUUGGAAUCUGACGCGAUGACAAUGUUCCGGAGCAUUAGAUCUUCAGCAAGAGCCAGACCCUCACGACAAGCAAUGGUCUCGAGCGUCGCAACAUCUGUUAUGCCCAGUUGUUCUAAUUUGUACGUGCUUUGCACGUCAACUGAUUACAUAUAAGCAUGGUACUAAAUUAGUGUAAAAAACUAAAGCACACAUACUAUGGUAAAUUUUUCAUAGAAGCUUCAAAUGGAGAUAUCCAAUAGGCAUUUGUGGAAUCAUUUUUGGGCUUCGCAAGGCCAGAUAACAAUUAUUCCCCCAAUAAACAUAGUACAAUGGUUUUCUUUGUAUGAAACAUUAGAUAUAAUCUUUGCCCUUAUAUAUAUAAAUAUAGGAAAAUGGGUUAGUACUCCUAGGAGUACAUACUCCUACCAACGUGUCAGCUUUGAGGCUAUCCCGUUUAAACUCCAACCAAUAUCCAAUUACUUAAUUAAUUAUUUAAUUAGGUGAAAAUCUCACGGAAGGGAAAAGGUGGACUUUGAAAAGUUGUUCCAGAAUACUAGGGAUAAACACACGUACUGUUGCACAUUUGUUGCCCCGUAUAUUAAUCUCAUUAUUAGGAUUUUGAAUCUUCUAUUUGCACCAUGCCGGGCAGCGGCGAUUCGAAGACGGCGGCGACAAGAGAAUGAAGUGUGGCACCUGCCUACGGGGAAGACGCGCAUAGAACGAUGCAACGAGCCUCCGUGGCCAACGCAAGCUACAUGAGGGUGAUGCAUUGACCAGGAUGCAGCCGGACAGGACGGAGACGCUGGCCGGCGGCCGCGCCGCUGAGCGGCCAUGGUGAGCGAGUUCAAUGCAUAGAGUAAUCCAACCGGCUAACUUCCAUAGCUUGCACUCCGGCAGUGCAGCUACCUUGCGUCGGUUUCUGCUCUCCUGCUGCCGAUCUGCCACACCCCACGGUGCAAGCAAGUCCUAGGCACCGAUGAUGCAUGCAUGUACCUAGCACACGUGUUAUCAUGCAAUGUAUGCAUGGGAGGAAUAUUUAGCAGUUUCCUUUGCACUUAUACAAUCAACUUUUGUUUAUUAUACUGUACCGGUUAACAAAUGAGUACUAAUUUUUCCUUUU